GUGUUUGCGUCUAUAGCUCAUAUACUAAAAUUGGAGCAAUACAGAAAUUAGCAUGGCCCCUGCAUAAGGAUGAUACGGAAAUUCAUGAAACAGUUCAUAUAAAA
ensembl:snRNA U6 U6 spliceosomal RNA